UUGAACGCUGGCGGCAGGCCUAACACAUGCAGGUCGAGCGGAUGAAGGGAGCUUGCUCCUGGAUUCAGCGGCGGACGGGUGAGUAAUGCCUAGGAAUCUGCCUGGUAGUGGGGGAUAACGUCCGGAAACGGGCGCUAAUACCGCAUACGUCCUGAGGGAGAAAGUGGGGGAUCUUCGGACCUCACGCUAUCAGAUGAGCCUAGGUCGGAUUAGCUAGUUGGUGGGGUAAAGGCCUACCAAGGCGACGAUCCGUAACUGGUCUGAGAGGAUGAUCAAUCACACUGGAACUGAGACACGGUCCAGACUCCUACGGGAGGCAGCAGUGGGGAAUAUUGGACAAUGGGCGAAAGCCUGAUCCAGCCAUGCCGCGUGUGUGAAGAAGGUCUUCGGAUUGUAAAGCACUUUAAGUUGGGAGGAAGGGCAGUAAGUUAAUACCUUGCUGUUUUGACGUUACCAACAGAAUAAGCACCGGCUAACUUCGUG
rnacentral:rRNA from 1 species